GACGAACGCUGGCGGCGUGCCUAAUACAUGCAAGUCGAGCGGACGGAUGGGAGCUUGCUCCCAGACCGUCAGCGGCGGACGGGUGAGUAACACGUGGGCAACCUGCCUGUAAGACUGGGAUAACUCCGGGAAACCGGGGAUAAUACCGGAUAACUCUUUCCCUCACAUGAGGGAAAGCUGAAAGAUGGCAUCUCGCUAUCACUUACAGAUGGGCCCGCGGCGCAUUAGCUAGUUGGUGAGGUAACGGCUCACCAAGGCGACGAUGCGUAGCCGACCUGAGAGGGUGAUCGGCCACACUGGGACUGAGACACGGCCCAGACUCCUACGGGAGGCAGCAGUAGGGAAUCUUCCACAAUGGACGAAAGUCUGACGGAGCAACGCCGCGUGAGUGAUGAAGGUUUUCGGAUCGUAAAACUCUGUUGUCAGGGAAGAACAAGUACCGGAGUAACUGCCGGUACCUUGACGGUACCUGACCAGAAAGCCACGGCUAACUACGUG
rnacentral:rRNA from 1 species